UGAGUCGAAAAGGUAAUCGCUAGCGCUCCUUGAGCGUUAGAGGAAAGUCCGGGCUUCAUAGAGCGGGAUGCUGGCUAACGGCCAGAGGAGGCGACUCCAUGGAAAGUGCCACAGAAAAUAUACCGCCGAUGGUUUGGUUUUUAAUCAAGCACAGGUAAGGGUGAAAUGGUGGGAGAGAUUUCUCUUUAAUGUAAGAGCCCACCGCGGGUAUGGCGACAUACCUGGCAAGGUAAACCCCAUCCGAAGCAAGUCCAAAUAGGAUAGCUGUCAUGGCUGCUCGCCUAGCUAUCGGGUAGGACGCACGAGAAUGCGAGCAAUUGUAUUCCUAGAUAAAUGAUUACCACUCAUUUUAUUAUGAGACAGAACCCGGCUUAUUGAAGGCUCAACUA
rnacentral:RNase_P_RNA from 1 species